ACGAACGCUGGCGGCGUGCUUAACACAUGCAAGUCGAGCGGUAAGGCCCUUUCGGGGUACGACGAGCGGCGAACGGGUGAGUAACACGUGGGUGACCUGCCCUUAGCUCUGGGAUAAGCCUGGGAAACGUGGGUCUAAUACCGGAUAUGACUCCAUGACGCAUGUUGGUGGGGUGGAAAGCCUUGUGCGGCUAGGGAUGGGCCCGCGGCCUAUCAGCUUGUUGGUGGGGUGAUGGCCUACCAAGGCGACGACGGGUAGCCGGCCUGAGAGGGCGACCGGCCACACUGGGACUGAGACAC
rnacentral:rRNA from 1 species